rnacentral:rRNA from 1 species
AACGAACGCUGGCGGCGCGCCUAACACAUGCAAGUCGAACGCGAAAGGGGGCAACCCUGAGUAAAGUGGCGCACGGGUGAGUAACGCGUAGGUGAUCUAGCUCUGCGACUGGGAUAACCAGCCGAAAGGUUGGCUAAUACUAGAUAGAGCGCAAUUGCUGUAGAGGUAAUUGCGGGAAAGGGUGGCGUAGCAAUACGCUAUUGCGCUGAGAUGAGCCUGCGUCUCAUUAGCUAGUUGGUAGGGUAAUGGCCUACCAAGGCAUUGAUGGGUAGCUGGUCUGAGAGGACGAUCAGCCACACUGGAACUGAAACACGGUCCAGACUCCUACGGGAGGCAGCAGUGGGGAAUCUUGCGCAAUGGACGAAAGUCUGACGCAGCGACGCCGCGUGGGUGAAGAAGGCC